rnacentral:lncRNA from 1 species
UGUGUGUGUGGAUAGUAGCUGCAGUGUGUGCGUGUGGGGAUAUGGGCUCUAGUAGGUGCAUGGGGGCAUAGGGACUGUAGUAGGUGCAUGGGGAGAUAGUGGCUGUAGAGAAUGGAAGAGUGAUAGGUGGUAUACUGGGUGCAGGAAGGUAUAGGGGCUGUAGUGGGUCCAGUGAGAGCUGUGAUGGGAAUAGGGAUGGGUAGGGGUUGAGGUGGGUGAAUGGGGCAUUGGGGCUGAGGUGCGUGAUGGGGGAGAUGGGUGCUGAGGUGGGCAUG